UACGGAGGGAGCUAGCGUUGUUCGGAAUUACUGGGCGUAAAGCGCACGUAGGCGGCUUUGUAAGUUAGAGGUGAAAGCCCGGAGCUCAACUCCGGAAUUGCCUUUAAGACUGCAUCGCUUGAAUCCAGGAGAGGUGAGUGGAAUUCCGAGUGUAGAGGUGAAAUUCGUAGAUAUUCGGAAGAACACCCGUGGCUAAGGCGGCAUCCUGGACCAAUUCGUGACACUGAGGAGCGAAAGCCAGGGGAGCAAACGGG
rnacentral:rRNA from 1 species